GGCUGUGGUUCAGUUGCUAGAGUGGUUGACUAGCAUGCAGGAAACCCUGGGUUCAGUCCCAGCACUGCCU
rnacentral:tRNA from 1 species